rnacentral:rRNA from 1 species
GACGAACGCUGGCGGCGUGCCUAAUACAUGCAAGUCGAACGAACUCUGGUAUUGAUUGGUGCUUGCAUCAUGAUUUACAUUUGAGUGAGUGGCGAACUGGUGAGUAACACGUGGGAAACCUGCCCAGAAGCGGGGGAUAACACCUGGAAACAGAUGCUAAUACCGCAUAACAACUUGGACCGCAUGGUCCGAGCUUGAAAGAUGGCUUCGGCUAUCACUUUUGGAUGGUCCCGCGGCGUAUUAGCUAGAUGGUGGGGUAACGGCUCACCAUGGCAAUGAUACGUAGCCGACCUGAGAGGGUAAUCGGCCACAUUGGGACUGAGACACGGCCCAAACUCCUACGGGAGGCAGCAGUAGGGAAUCUUCCACAAUGGACGAAAGUCUGAUGGAGCAACGCCGCGUGAGUGAAGAAGGGUUUCGGCUCGUAAAACUCUGUUGUUAAAGAAGAACAUAUCUGAGAGUAACUGUUCAGGUAUUGACGGUAUUUAACCAGAAAGCCACGGCUAACUACGUGCCAGCAGCCGCGGUAAUACGUAGGUGGCAAGCGUUGUCCGGAUUUAUUGGGCGUAAAGCGAGCGCAGGCGGUUUUUUAAGUCUGAUGUGAAAACCUUCGGCUCAACCGAAGAAGUGCAUCGGAAACUGGGAAACUUGAGUGCAGAAGAGGACAGUGGAACUCCAUGUGUAGCGGUGAAAUGUGUAGAUAUAUGGAAGAACACCAGUGGCGAAGGCGGCUGUCUGGUCUGUAACUGACGCUGAGGCUCGAAAGUAUGGGUAGCAAACAGGAUUAGAUACCCUGGUAGUCCAUACCGUAAACGAUGAAUGCUAAGUGUUGGAGGGUUUCCGCCCUUCAGUGCUGCAGCUAACGCAUUAAGCAUUCCGCCUGGGGAGUACGGCCGCAAGGCUGAAACUCAAAGGAAUUGACGGGGGCCCGCACAAGCGGUGGAGCAUGUGGUUUAAUUCGAAGCUACGCGAAGAACCUUACCAGGUCUUGACAUACUAUGCAAAUCUAAGAGAUUAGACGUUCCCUUCGGGGACAUGGAUACAGGUGGUGCAUGGUUGUCGUCAGCUCGUGUCGUGAGAUGUUGGGUUAAGUCCCGCAACGAGCGCAACCCUUAUUAUCAGUUGCCAGCAUUAAGUUGGGCACUCUGGUGAGACUGCCGGUGACAAACCGGAGGAAGGUGGGGAUGACGUCAAAUCAUCAUGCCCCUUAUGACCUGGGCUACACACGUGCUACAAUGGAUGGUACAACGAGUUGCGAACUCGCGAGAGUAAGCUAAUCUCUUAAAGCCAUUCUCAGUUCGGAUUGUAGGCUGCAACUCGCCUACAUGAAGUCGGAAUCGCUAGUAAUCGCGGAUCAGCAUGCCGCGGUGAAUACGUUCCCGGGCCUUGUACACACCGCCCGUCACACCAUGAGAGUUUGUAACACCCAAAGUCGGUGGGGUAACCUUUUAGGAACCAGCCGCCUAAGGUGGGACAGAUGAUUAGGGUG